rnacentral:tRNA from 1 species
ARAAAAGUAAGCUAAGAUAA